rnacentral:rRNA from 1 species
GACAGGUGGUGCAUGGUUGUCGUCAGAUCGUGUCGUGAGAUGUUGGGUUAAGUCCCGCAACGAGCGCAACCCUUGUGAAUAGUUGCUACGAAAGAGCACUCUAUUCAGACCGCCGUUGACAAAACGGAGGAAGGUGGGGAUGACGUCAAAUCAUCAUGCCCCUUAUGACCUGGGCUACACACGUACUACAAUGGUCGUUAACAGAGGGAAGCAAGGCCGCGAGGUGGAGCGAACCCCUAAAAACGAUCUCAGUUCGGAUUGCAGGCUGAAACUCGCCUGCAUGAAGAUGGAAUUGCUAGUAAUCGCGGAUCAGCAUGCCGCGGUGAAUACGUUCCCGGGCCUUGUACACACCGCCCGUCACACCAUGAGAGCCGGGGACACCCGAAGUCGGUUGGGUAACCGUAAGGAGCCCGCCGCCGAAGGUGAA